rnacentral:rRNA from 2 species
CAGAUGGGAGCUUGCUCCCUGAAGUCAGCGGCGGACGGGUGAGUAACACGUGGGCAACCUGCCUGUAAGACUGGGAUAACUCCGGGAAACCGGGGCUAAUACCGGAUAACUCUUUUCCUCACAUGAGGAAAAGCUGAAAGAUGGUUUCGGCUAUCACUUACAGAUGGGCCCGCGGCGCAUUAGCUAGUUGGUGAGGUAACGGCUCACCAAGGCCACGAUGCGUAGCCGACCUGAGAGGGUGAUCGGCCACACUGGGACUGAGACACGGCCCAGACUCCUACGGGAGGCAGCAGUAGGGAAUCUUCCGCAAUGGACGAAAGUCUGACGGAGCAACGCCGCGUGAGUGAUGAAGGUUUUCGGAUCGUAAAACUCUGUUGUCAGGGAAGAACAAGUACCGGAGUAACUGCCGGUACCUUGACGGUACCUGACCAGAAAGCCACGGCUAACUACGUGCCAGCAGCCGCGGUAAUACGUAGGUGGCAAGCGUUGUCCGGAAUUAUUGGGCGUAAAGCGCGCGCAGGCGGUUCCUUAAGUCUGAUGUGAAAGCCCCCGGCUCAACCGGGGAGGGUCAUUGGAAACUGGGGAACUUGAGUGCAGAAGAGAAGAGUGGAAUUCCACGUGUAGCGGUGAAAUGCGUAGAGAUGUGGAGGAACACCAGUGGCGAAGGCGACUCUUUGGUCUGUAACUGACGCUGAGGCGCGAAAG